rnacentral:rRNA from 1 species
GAUGAACGCUGGCGGCGUGCCUAAUACAUGCAAGUCGAGCGAACAGACGAGGAGCUUGCUCCUCUGACGUUAGCGGCGGAGGGGUGAGUAACAUGUGUAUAACCUACCUAUAAGACCGGGAUAACUUCGGGACACCGGAGCUAAUACCGGACAAUAUAUUGAACCGCAUGGUUCAAUAGUGAAAUACGGUUUUGCUGUUACUUAUAGAUGGAUCCGCGCCGCAUUAGCUAGUUGGUAAGGUAACGGCUUACCAAGGCGACGAUGCGUAGCCGACCUGAGAGGGUGAUCGGCCACACGGGAACUGAGACGCGGUCCAGACUCCUACGGGAGGCAGCAGUAGGGAAUCUUCCGCAAUGGGCGAAAGCCUGACGGAGCAAAGCCGCGUGAGUCAUGAAGGUCUUCGGAUCGUAAAACUCUGUUAUUAGGGGAGAACAAAUGUGUAAGUAACUAUGCACGUCUUGACGGUACCUAAUCAGAAAGCCACGGCUAACUACGUG